CCGAAUGGGGAAACCCAGUGUGAUUCGUCACACUAUCAUUAACUGAAUCCAUAGGUUAAUGAGGCGAACCGGGGGAACUGAAACAUCUAAGUACCCCGAGGAAAAGAAAUCAACCGAGAUUCCCCCAGUAGCGGCGAGCGAACGGGGAGGAGCCCAGAGCCUGAAUCAGCAUGUGUGUUAGUGGAAGCGUCUGGAAAGGCGCGCGAUACAGGGUGACAGCCCCGUACACAAAAGCGCAUGUGCUGUGAGCUCGAUGAGUAGGGCGGGACACGUGGUAUCCUGUCUGAAUAUGGGGGGACCAUCCUCCAAGGCUAAAUACUCCUGACUGACCGAUAGUGAACCAGUACCGUGAGGGAAAGGCGAAAAGAACCCCGGCGAGGGGAGUGAAAAAGAACCUGAAACCGUGUACGUACAAGCAGUGGGAGCACAGGUUUACCUGUGUGACUGCGUACCUUUUGUAUAAUGGGUCAGCGACUUAUAUUCUGUAGCAAGGUUAACCGUAUAGGGGAGCCG
rnacentral:rRNA from 1 species